GCACCUGUGGCUCAAUGAGUAGGGCGCUGGCCCCAUAUGCCAGAGGUGGUGGGUUCAAACCCAGCCUUGGCCA
rnacentral:tRNA from 1 species